UACGUAGGGCGCAAGCGUUGUCCGGAAUUAUUGGGCGUAAAGAGCUCGUAGGCGGCUUGUCACGUCGGGUGUGAAAGACCGGGGCUUAACCCCGGUUCUGCAUUCGAUACGGGCUGGCUAGAGUGUGGUAGGGGAGAUCGGAAUUCCUGGUGUAGCGGUGAAAUGCGCAGAUAUCAGGAGGAACACCGGUGGCGAAGGCGGAUCUCUGGGCCAUUACUGACGCUGAGGAGCGAAAGCGUGGGGAGCGAACGGG
rnacentral:rRNA from 1 species